GGGAGAGCUAAAGCAAUGAGGAAAAGAAGAAUGAAAAUAACUGAAAUCCGUUGCAGAGGAAGGGUGCCUAUUUUGGGACUCCACAUCUGGAUGCCAUACUACAGGUGAGAUCUCUCCAGUGUGGAGAAAAGGGGCAGGAUCACCUCCCUCACCCUGCUGGCCACGCUUCUUUUGGGGAAGCCCAGGAUACAGUUGGCUUUCUGUGCUGCAUCUGUAGGACAAGAGGCAGAAAUACUGUAAAGCACAGGGAGUGAUCAUGGGAGACUGCUUUGUAUUUUGCAUUUUUGAAGGCCUUAUCUUACACGUGAAUGCUCAGAUGGUUAUUUACCCUUGAAGUAAGUAAAAAUAGGAUUAAGAAGAGGAUUAAGAGAACGGAGCAUUGUUUGACACUGUCCAGAACAACAAAAAUGGAUCUGAUGGAUGAACCACUCACAGGAAUUGCCUGGAUGGUUGCAUUUAGAGAGUUCUGGUCAACAGCUCAAUGUCCAAGUGGAGACCGGUGGCAAGUGGCAUUCCUUCCUCAGGUAUCAGUGCUGGGACUGGUUCUAUUUAACAUCUUUGUAGGUGACAGAUA
ensembl:lncRNA